UUCCACGAGAGUCGUCGGGGUUUCCUGCUUCAACAGUGCUUGGACAGAACCUGGCGCUCGUCCCCCACACCGGCCGGCUGCCCAUAGCCAGCCCUCCGUCACCUCCUCACCGCGCCCUCGGACUGCCCCAAGGCCCCCGCCGCCGCUCCAGCACUGCGCAGUCACCACCGCGAACGCAGCCGCCUCUCCUUAGUCGCCGCCAUGACGACCGCGUCCACCUCACAGGUGCGCCAGGACUACCACCAGGACUAAAGGCCGCCAUCAACCGCCAGAUCAACCUGGAGCUCUACGCCUCCUGCGUUUACCUGUCCAUGUCUUACUACUUUGACCGCGAUGAUGUGGCUUUGAAGAACUUUGCCAAAUACUUUCUUCACCAAUCUCAUGAGGAGAGGGAACAUGCUGAGAAACUGAUGAAGCUGCAGAACCAAGGAGGUGGCCGAAUCUUCCUUCAGGAUAUCAAGAAACCGGACUGUGAUGACUGGGAGAGCGGGCUGAAUGCGAUGGAGUGUGCAUUACAUUUGGAAAAAAAUGUGAAUCAGUCACUACUGGAACUGCACAAACUGGCCACUGACAAAAAUGACCCCCAUUUGUGUGACUUCAUUGAGACACAUUACCUGAAUGAGCAGGUCAAAGCCAUCAAAGAAUUGGGUGACCACAUGACCAACUUGUGCAAGAUGGGAGCACCCGAAUCUAGCUUGGCGGAAUAUCUCUUUGACCAGCACACCCUGGGAGACAGUGAUAAUGAAAGCUAAGCCUCAGGCUAAUUUCCCCAUAGCCGUGGGGUGACUUCCCUGGUCACCAAGGCAGUGCAUGCAUGUUGGGGUUUCCUUUACCUUUUCUAUAAGUUGUACCAAAACAUCCACUUAAGUUCUUUGAUUUGUACCAUUCCUUCACAUAAAGAAAUUGGGUACCAAAAAAAAAAAAAAAAAA
ensembl:lncRNA novel transcript